AUUGAACGCUGGCGGCAUGCUUUACACAUGCAAGUCGAACGGCAGCACGGGGGCAACCCUGGUGGCGAGUGGCGAACGGGUGAGUAAUGCAUCGGAACGUAUCCUUAAGUGGGGGAUAACGCAUCGAAAGAUGCGCUAAUACCGCAUAAUCUCUAAGGAGAAAAGCAGGGGGAUCGCAAGACCUUGCGCUUUUUGGAGCGGCCGAUGUCUGAUUAGCAGUUGGUGAGGUAAAGGCUUACCAAGGCUUCGAUCAGUAGCUGGUCUGAGAGGACGACCAGCCACACUGGGACUGAGACACGGCCCAGACUCCUACGGGAGGCAGCAGUGGGG
rnacentral:rRNA from 1 species